CUAAGAAUAUUCCGCAAUGGGGGAAACCCUGACGGAGCGACGCCGCGUGGACGAGGAAGGCCGGAAGGUUGUAAAGUCCUUUUGAACCGGAAGAAUAAACAGUGCAGGGAAUGGCAGUGUGGUGACGGUACGGUUUGAAUAAGAGGCGGCUAAUUACGUGCCAGCAGCCGCGGUAACACGUAAGCCUCGAGCGUUGUUCGGAAUUAUUGGGCGUAAAGGGCAUGUAGGCGGUAAUCUAAGCUUGGUGUGAAAGGCAGGGGCUUAACUCCUGGACAGCAUUGAGAACUGGAUUGCUAGAGUUACUGAAGUGAAAGGCGGGGGCUCAACCCCCGGACUGCUUUGGAAACUGUCCGGCUGGAGUGCAGGAGAGGUAAGUGGAAUUCCUAGUGUAGCGGUGAA
rnacentral:rRNA from 1 species